rnacentral:rRNA from 1 species
AGAACGAACGCUGGCGGCAGGCUUAACACAUGCAAGUCGAACGCUCGGGAGCAAUUCCGGGAGUGGCAGACGGGUGAGUAACACGUGGGAACAUACCCUUCGGCACGGAACAACUUGGGGAAACUCGAGCUAAUACCGUAUACGACCUUUUGGUGAAAGAUUGAUCGCCGGAGGAUUGGCCCGCGUCCGAUUAGCUAGUUGGUGAGGUAACGGCUCACCAAGGCGACGAUCGGUAGCUGGU